GCUGGGCGUGGUGGCGGGCGCCUGUAGUCCCAGCUACUUGGGAGGCUGAGGCAGGAGAAUGACGUGAGCUUGGGAGGCGGAGCUUGCAGUGAGCAGAGAUCAUGACACUGCACUCCAGCCUGGGCGACAGAGUGAGACUCCGUCUCAAAAAAAAUAGAGAGUGUAUCUUUUAUUUUUUAAUUUUUGUGACAGGGUCUUGCUCUGUUGCCCAGGCUGGAGUGCAGUGGCACAAUCAUAGCUCACUGCAACCUUGACCUCCUGAGCUCACGCCAUCCUCCUGCCUCA
rnacentral:sRNA from 1 species